rnacentral:rRNA from 1 species
CGCUGGCGGCACGCCUAACACAUGCAAGUCGAACGGAGAUUGAGAGCUUGCUCUUAAAUCUUAGUGGCGGACGGGUGAGUAACACGUGAGCAACCUGCCUCUGAGAGAGGGAUAGCUUCUGGAAACGGAUGGUAAUACCUCAUAACAUAGCUGGACCGCAUGAUCCGGUUAUCAAAGAUUUAUCACUCAGAGAUGGGCUCGCGUCUGAUUAGCUAGUUGGUGAGGUAACGGCCCACCAAGGCGACGAUCAGUAGCCGGACUGAGAGGUUGAACGGCCACAUUGGGACUGAGACACGGCCCAGACUCCUACGGGAGGCAGCAGUGAGGGAUAUUGCACAAUGGAGGAAACUCUGAUGCAGCGAUGCCGCGUGGAGGAAGAAGGUUUUCGGAUUGUAAACUCCUGUUUCGAGGGACGAUAAUGACGGUACCUCGGGAGGAAGCUCCGGCUAACUACGUGCCAGCAGCGGC